rnacentral:miRNA from 1 species
AUGUGAUGUAAUUGUCUUGCACACAUUAAUAGGCUAUAUAAUAUGCAUAUACACAUAUGCAUAUAUAAGCACACACAGGGUUAAUUAUAUAUGCAUGU